GACGAACGCUGGCGGCGUGCCUAACACAUGCAAGUCGAACGGACAGGCCCUGCGUUUGUGGGGUGCUCGAGUGGCGAACGGGUGUGUAACACGUGUGUAACCUGCCCCUGUCUUUGGGGUAACUUCAGGAGACUGGGGCUCAUACCGCAUAGGAUCUCUUGCUGCAUGGUGGGCGUUGGUAAGAUUCGGCGGUUGGGGCUGUAAUGGCGGGUUAUCGGCUUGUUGGUGGAGUUGUGGAUUACCAAGGCUGUGAAGGGUAGCCGGCCUGAGAGGGGGACCGGCCUCAUUGCGACUGAGAUACGGCCCAGAAGCGAACGGGAGGCAGCGGUGGAGAGUAUGACAGAGUAGGCGGGAGCCAGAUGCGGCAACGCCGCGUGCGGGAUGACGUCCUUCGGGGUGUGAACCACUGUCGACUGUGACGAGGCGUGAGUGACGGUAAUGAGUAAAGAAGCACCGGCUAACUACGUG
rnacentral:rRNA from 1 species